CCUGGUGCGGCAGUAAGAGGCCCGGCUCCCACGGUUGGUGCCCAUGGCACUGGUGCAAGUUUGCCACCCAUAGGUGAACAGGUUGUCAGCAUGAAACAGCUGAAACAUGCUGAAGGAACAAUAGAGCUUUCGAGAGAUAAAGAUCCUGAGCUCUUGUAUCUGGCAGACUGGCACGCUGUGGUUUAUGAGGUCUUGGUUGGAAGUAUCAAGUGCACCUGUGUGCAUGGUAUUUAAUAUGCACUAAAUGAAUAUCGGACAUUGGAUCAUUAGAUUUCAGGAUUUGUGCUGACAUCAAAUGAGUACCACAACCGAAACCGAACCGAUCCUGACCUAAAUUGGUUUGGUCAGCUCGGUUCGGGUUGAUUCGGUUUUGGACUACAAUCGGCAUAAGUAUUGAUAACGUGAAGUGUUGAGCUCUCCCUCACCUAAUAAAGAUCUCAAACACAACGGAACUAGGAAAUUAGUUGUAUUUGUAUUGCUUAAUUUCAGGAAUGUCGUCGGAAAUGAAUACAAUGCUUAAAA